AGUAAGGAAUAUUGGUCAAUGGGCGGAAGCCUGAACCAGCCAUGCCGCGUGCAGGAAGACUGCCCUAUGGGUUGUAAACUGCUUUUAUCCGGGAAUAAACCACAUUACGUGUAAUGUGCUGAAUGUACCGGAAGAAUAAGGAUCGGCUAACUCCGUGCCAGCAGCCGCGGUAAUACGGAGGAUCCAAGCGUUAUCCGGAUUUAUUGGGUUUAAAGGGUGCGUAGGCGGCCUGUUAAGUCAGGGGUGAAAGACGGUAGCUCAACUAUCGCAGUGCCCUUGAUACUGAUGGGCUUGAAUGGACUAGAGGUAGGCGGAAUGAGACAAGUAGCGGUGAAAUGCAUAGAUAUGUCUCAGAACACCGAUUGCGAAGGCAGCUUACUAUGGUCUUAUUGACGCUGAGGCACGAAAGCGUGGGGAUCAAA
rnacentral:rRNA from 1 species